UACGGAGGGGGCUAGCGUUGUUCGGAAUUACUGGGCGUAAAGGGCGCGUAGGCGGACGUUCAAGUCGGGGGUGAAAUCCCGGGGCUCAACCCCGGAACUGCCUCCGAUACUGGACGUCUCGAGGACGGAAGAGGCGAGUGGAAUGCCGAGUGUAGAGGUGAAAUUCGUAGAUAUUCGGCGGAACACCAGUGGCGAAGGCGGCUCGCUGGUCCGUUUCUGACGCUGAGGCGCGAAAGCGUGGGGAGCAAAC
rnacentral:rRNA from 1 species